rnacentral:lncRNA from 10 species
GCACUCCAUCCUGGGUGACAGAACAGUACUCCAUCUCAAAAACAAGAAAAGAAGAAGAAAAAAGAGUUUCAUACUGCCAGGAAUAUUUACUCUUUGUCCCAGUUAAAACCUGAUGACAAUAUAUUCGAAAGGAUUUACUUUUAGAGCACUAUGAUCAGAAGUUGGCUUAGUUGGAAGUUGUUACUCAGGCUACAGAUAAUUUUUAAGGUCCUCUCUGUUCUUUCUAAACUGGAUCCUGCUUCUCCCAUGGGACCAUCUAAGUCGACUGAAAACUGUCUUCUCAAACCCCUGCUAAGUAUGUGCUCCACCAACUCUACUCUGUCCACUUCCUUCUUGUGGAACUUCACUGUCUUCUUU